UACAGAGGGGGCAAGCGUUGUUCGGAAUUACUGGGCGUAAAGGGCGCGUAGGCGGCCUGCUAAGUCGAACGUGAAAUCCCCGGGCUCAACCCGGGAACUGCGUCCGAUACUGGCAGGCUUGAAUCCGGGAGAGGGAUGCGGAAUUCCAGGUGUAGCGGUGAAAUGCGUAGAUAUCUGGAGGAACACCGGUAGCGAAGGCGGCAUCCUGGACCGGCAUUGACGCUGAGGCGCGAAAGCCAGGGGAGCAAACGGG
rnacentral:rRNA from 1 species